AGUGAACGCUGGCGGUAGGCCUAACACAUGCAAGUCGAACGGCAGCACAGUAAGAGCUUGCUCUUACGGGUGGCGAGUGGCGGACGGGUGAGGAAUACAUCGGAAUCUACUUUUUCGUGGGGGAUAACGUAGGGAAACUUACGCUAAUACCGCAUACGACCUACGGGUGAAAGCAGGGGAUCUUCGGACCUUGCGCGAUUGAAUGAGCCGAUGUCGGAUUAGCUAGUUGGCGGGGUAAAGGCCCACCAAGGCGACGAUCCGUAGCUGGUCUGAGAGGAUGAUCAGCCACACUGGAACUGAGACACGGUCCAGACUCCUACGGGAGGCAGCAGUGGGGAAUAUUGGACAAUGGGCGCAAGCCUGAUCCAGCCAUACCGCGUGGGUGAAGAAGGCCUUCGGGUUGUAAAGCCCUUUCGUUGGGAAAGAAAAGCAGCAGGUUAAUACCCCGCUGUCCUGACGGUACCCAAAGAAUAAGCACCGGCUAACUUCGUG
rnacentral:rRNA from 1 species